AGAACAUUAUUUAGAUGAUGCUGUAGAGAUGAACUCUUCUCUGGGCUUAGUGGCUGUGGUGCUCUUAGUGCUUGGACGAAUCCAUGGAGACUCGGUGACCCAGACAAAAGGCCAAGUGACCCUCUCAGAAGGGGCUCCCCUGACUGUGAAUUGUUCCUAUGAAAGCACACGGUACCCUGCUCUUUUCUGGUAUGUUCAGUAUCCUGGAGAAGGUCCACAGCUCCUCCUGAAAGCCACAAGGGUCAACGAGAAGGGAAGCAGCAAAGGAUUUGUAGCCACAUACCAAAAACAACCAAAUGCCUUCCACUUGGAGAAAGCCUCAGUCCACCAGUCAGAUUCUGCAAUGUACUACUGUGCACUGGGUGACACAGUGACAGACACUGCAGGGGGAGCUGAGCACAAACUCUGAACAAAGAGCCUGGCUGCUGAGUGUCUGUGACUGUUCGAUCCACUGAGGUGGAUUUUAUUAUAAAAUAUCAAAUACAAAUUUCCAAUAUUUUAUGCACAUUAAUAGAGUUGUUCGGAUAAUUAGACUUCCACAUGUACAGGGAGAUCUAAGACA